CCCCUCUUAGGGUUGCAUCUGGAGAGUUGCCAGUACUCUACCAGUCUUGACUACAGGAGGGAGAGUCAAGCAGAGGCCCGUCCAUUCCAGUCCAUUCCUAGCUUGGGCAGUGGCUAGUGAGUGGAAGGGAAUCUGCUGCAAGU